rnacentral:rRNA from 1 species
AACGAACGCUGGCGGCAUGCCUAACCCAUGCAAGUCGAACGAGACCUUCGGGUCUAGUGGCGCACGGGUGCGUAACGCGUGGGAACCUGCCUUUAGGUUCGGAAUAACUCCCCGAAAGGGGUGCUAAUACCGAAUAAUGUCUUCGGACCAAAGAUUUAUCGCCUUUAGAUGGGCCCGCGUAAGAUUAGGUAGUUGGUGGGGUAAAGGCCUACCAAGCCGACGAUCUUUAGCUGGUCUGAGAGGAUGAUCAGCCACACUGGGACUGAGACACGGCCCAGACUCCUACGGGAGGCAGCAGUGGGGAAUAUUGGACAAUGGGCGAAAGCCUGAUCCAGCAAUGCCGCGUGAGUGAUGAAGGCCUUAGGGUUGUAAAGCUCUUUUACCAGGGAUGAUAAUGACAGUACCUGGAGAAUAAGCUCCGGCUAACUCCGUGCCAGCAGCCGCGGUAAUACGGAGGGAGCUAGCGUUGUUCGGAAUUACUGGGCGUAAAGCGCACGUAGGCGGCGAUUC